CGCAGGAUAUUGCAGCUUAAUCUUUUAUUGCAAAAGUAAUACUUAGUCAUUGUUUUAUAUACAUAGCUAAGCAGGAGGAAAACUCAAAAUUAUCCUUAUUCCCACAGCUCAGAGGUUGAGGUGUCAAUGUUUUGAGGUACAUCCUUCCACUUUGUCUCCAUGAAUGAUAUUUAUUUAUUUAUUUUUACGUGAAGCCCGUCGCUAUGGAUAGUCUUUAGUAACGGGAGAGGGGUUUUUUUGUGCCCCCUCACUUCUAUCGUGAACAAUCUACGUAUCAAUUCCCAUAUUUUUGGUAAGGGCUGAAUAGUAACCCACUGAGAGAUUUAUUUAACCAGUUCUGUCAUUGUCACACUUUGGAGGUCCUUUCACACUUUUCACUCUUUAGUAAAACAGUCCUAUAGUUAAAGUUUCGUAACAUCAGUAUUUCCUUGCCAUAAAUUCCUGGAAUUUACUGUGAAGUUAGUGAUCAUUCCAUUUUCUCUCCUAGAUUUAAAAAAAAAAAAAAGAGAGAGAUGUCCUUACUCCAAAGUUAAUAAUGAGGCCGCUCUCUGCCACAGCCAGGUGGAGGUAGGUGUCUGAUUAAGCACGCUGCACCCUGGGAGAGAAGAAGCAAGUAAAAGGCGGUCUCUAAGGCUGCUCCACGGAGGGAGGGCCAAAGUCGGGUGAGAGGCCUGUGAGCCCUGAGCGGGGAGAAGAGCUGGACCCCCGAAUCUGGAGCCCCGACGACGACGACGACGACGACACAGGCAGGAACCUUGACAAAUAGACUGGAUGCUGGUCAUGAAUGAACGUGGAAUUGAAGUUGGCUCCUUUGGCUGCAGGAUGCCAGGUUCCCCAGGUUCUCCCCUUCUAGACAACUCAGUGCCCCACACCUGCUGAGGCAACUUUGGGGGCUUCAUUCUCCUUGGAAGUAAUUAAACUGCGUAGAGCUUCAAAAGAAUGGAAGGAUGCUCUCCCAGGAUCUGAUGACAGCUUUACACACCCUGACUCCACAGCCCAGUUCCUGCAAUUGUGCCUCUUCCCAGGGGACAUGGCGUGGGGGCCCCUGGCCUUCCUGUCGCCCCACCCUGGGACUGCUCCAGUGUGUCUCUACCUCUGGAAGACUGUGGCGCCCAGAACUGCGUUCCUGCCCAGCGGGCUGAGCUGUC